UAGAGAAUAUUUAGCGAGGGGCUUAC
rnacentral:piRNA from 1 species